rnacentral:rRNA from 1 species
CGGGUGAGUAACGCGUGAGGAACCUGCCUCAAAGAGGGGGACAACAGUUGGAAACGACUGCUAAUACCGCAUAAGCCCACGGCUCGGCAUCGAGCAGAGGGAAAAGGAGCAAUCCGCUUUGAGAUGGCCUCGCGUCCGAUUAGCUAGUUGGUGAGGUAACGGCCCACCAAGGCGACGAUCGGUAGCCGGACUGAGAGGUUGAACGGCCACAUUGGGACUGAGACACGGUCCAA